UACGUAGGGCGCGAGCGUUGUCCGGAUUUAUUGGGCGUAAAGAGCUCGUAGGCGGCUUGUCGCGUCGACCGUGAAACCUCACAGCUCAACUGUGAGCCUGCGGUCGAUACGGGCAGGCUAGAGUUCGGUAGGGGAGACUGGAAUUCCUGGUGUAGCGGUGAAAUGCGCAGAUAUCAGGAGGAACACCGGUGGCGAAGGCGGGUCUCUGGGCCGAUACUGACGCUGAGGAGCGAAAGCGUGGGGAGCGAACAGG
rnacentral:rRNA from 1 species